GACGAACGCUGGCGGCGUGCUUAACACAUGCAAGUCGAACGGAAAGGCCCUGCUUUUGUGGGGUGCUCGAGUGGCGAACGGGUGAGUAACACGUGAGUAACCUGCCCUUGACUUUGGGAUAACUUCAGGAAACUGGGGCUAAUACCGGAUAGGAGCUCCUGCUGCAUGGUGGGGGUUGGAAAGUUUCGGCGGUUGGGGAUGGACUCGCGGCUUAUCAGCUUGUUGGUGGGGUAGUGGCUUACCAAGGCUUUGACGGGUAGCCGGCCUGAGAGGGUGACCGGCCACAUUGGGCCUGAGAUACGGCCCAGACUCCUACGGGAGGCAGCAGGGGGGAAUAUUGCACAAUGGGCGGAAGCCUGAUGCAGCAACGCCGCGUGCGGGAUGACGGCCUUCGGGUUGUAAACCGCUUUCGCCUGUGACGAAGCGUGAGUGACGGUAAUGGGUAAAGAAGCACCGGCUAACUACGUG
rnacentral:rRNA from 1 species